CACGGAUGAGCUUCAUCACCCACAGCUUCAGGGUCCUCAGUUCAACACCUGCCACCCGAUUCUGGGAGGGUGAAACCCAGGCCCCUAGACAC